GACGAACGCUGGCGGCGUGCCUAAUACAUGCAAGUAGGACGCACAGUUUAUACCGUAGCUUGCUACACCAUAGACUGUGAGUUGCGAACGGGUGAGUAACGCGUAGGUAACCUGCCUAUUAGAGGGGGAUAACUAUUGGAAACGAUAGCUAAUACCGCAUAACAGUAUGUAACACAUGUUAGAUGCUUGAAAGAUGCAAUUGCAUCGCUAGUAGAUGGACCUGCGUUGUAUUAGCUAGUAGGUAGGGUAAAGGCCUACCUAGGCAACGAUACAUAGCCGACCUGAGAGGGUGAUCGGCCACACUGGGACUGAGACACGGCCCAGACUCCUACGGGAGGGCAGCAGUAGGGAAUCUUCGGCAAUGGGGGGAACCCCUGACCGAGCAAACGCCGCGUGAGUGAAGAAGGUUUUCGGAUUCG
rnacentral:rRNA from 1 species